rnacentral:rRNA from 1 species
GCAAGUCGAGGGGUAACGGGAGAGCUUGCUCUUGCCGACGACCGGCGCACGGGUGCGUAACGCGUAUGUAACUUGCCUCACACAGGAGGAUAGCCUUUGGAAACGAAGAUUAAUACUCCAUAGUAUUAAUAUUAGGCAUCUAAUAUUAAUUAAACUUACGAGGGUGUGAGAUAGGCAUGCGUCAGAUUAGUUAGUUGGUGAGGUAACGGCUCACCAAGGCAACGAUGGGUAGGGGGCCUGAGAGGGUGGUC